GGCUCAUUUGGCACCCAAUAGCAACUUCAAUUUCCAAAAGUACAUACGACGAUCACUGGACGAGGAUUUCAAGGUCGUAGUCAGCAUCAGCCCUCUGAUGCGGUUUAUUGUCGUUAUCUUCAUGCUCCUAGACGUACAUGGUUGGCAUGUGUAUCUCUGGGUGUCCUGCGUUCCUCUUUUGGUAAGAAUAAAUUGCUGCAAUGUAA